GAUGAACGCUAGCGGCAGGCCUAACACAUGCAAGUCGAGGGGUAGGAAGAGCUUGCUUUUCUGAGACCGGCGCACGGGUGCGUAACGCGUAUACAAUCUACCUUGUACAGGGGGAUAGCCCAGAGAAAUUUGGAUUAAUACCUCAUAGUGUUAUUGAGUGGCAUCACAUGAUAGCUAAAGUUCCAACGGUACAAGAUGAGUAUGCGUCCCAUUAGUUAGAUGGUAAGGUAACGGCUUACCAUGACAAGGAUGGGUAGGGGUCCUGAGAGGGAGAUCCCCCACACUGGUACUGAGACACGGACCAGACUCCUACGGGAGGCAGCAGUGAGGAAUAUUGGACAAUGGGGGCAACCCUGAUCCAGCCAUGCCGCGUGCAGGAUGACGGUCCUAUGGAUUGUAAACUGCUUUUAUACAGGAAGAACCCCUUCUUUGCGAAGAAGACUGACGGUACUGUAAGAAUAAGGAUCGGCUAACUCCGUGCCAGCCGCCGCGGUAAAAC
rnacentral:rRNA from 1 species